UAGUCCUGAUGAUAGCUUGAAGACCUGAGAUGUCCCAUGGUUGGCACACUGAUCCAAGGUACUCACGGUAACCACCGUAACACUACCCCCAUAUUUCUGAGUCUGAGAAUCAAAUGAAGGAAGUAUUCUGAAAGUCGUACCUUAGAUCUGGGAUGCACGCUUUCAUGCCUUCACGAAUGUUCGAUAUUUAAAGUUGCUGACGUUAUCUUAGUACAAUCGUUGCAAAUGAUCGCAAUUGAUGGGACCCCACAACUGAUGAUUUUCUUAAAAAUUUAAUUUCUUAGGCGGUGGCUUUUUGUCUUCAUUUUCGAUCUCCUUUUAAAUCAGACUCUUGGAUACUUAGUCAGAGAAAAGUAAUCGCUAGACUUUCCUGCUCUAAACCUUUGUCACAACCCUUAAAGGCAAGAUGAGCUUAGAACUCAUGAGGAAGCUUUAACUGGCGUUGGCCUGAAAGAAACUGGCCAAGGCCCUGACCAC
rnacentral:lncRNA from 1 species